ensembl:lncRNA
CAUUUCAAAAUUUCUCUGUGAUGGAGAGCAGAGGCCCCUCCUGCCCACCACCUUCCAUGGCCACCACAAAGCCAGGAGUCAGAAAACCAUGAGAGUCUGAGGCAGAGUAAUGGGACCUGGAGGCCAGUCCUCAUGCAGGAAGGGGAGCUACCCCAUCCCAAGCCGGCACUGGGAGGACAAAGGAGCAGCAUGGGACAGAGGCCCCGCUGUGGCCAGGUCAGUCACGCCUUCCCCCCAGACCCCGCGGCCCCCACCGCAGCACCUCGACCCUCUGCACCCCGGCAGUGACUGCAGGCACCGCUUCCUUGCAAAACGCCCGCAUGUCAAAGUUCUCGCAUCGCGGUUGGACGCGCCCUCCCGGCCCUGCUGUCUGCUGGCUCUGCAGUUUUCCAAAUGCGGACGAUGCCACGAGCCAAGAGAAAACUCCGAAGCACCCCCGGCUGGAGCCACGCGGCGCCGGCACCAUGGCUCCCCCUCGCCGCGGGCACACCCCCACCGCGGCCGCCGGCAAGUUUGCAGGGGGCCGGGCGGGCUGAGUGGGACUCACCGCGGAGCCCCUCCGGCCGGGCUGGCGACGGCGGCCGUGGGCGCAGGGUCGCGGCUCCCGGGUACGGUGCGCCCCGUGCGGCUCCCAGAGAGAUGGUGCUGCAGCCGCGGCAGCCCAUCCUUCUCCCCGAGCCAAUCGCGAGCGCAGGGGUGGGGGAGGCCCGGCUCCCGACUCGUCCGCACUUGGGGGGCGGGGGUGGGGGGAACGGAGAGAAAGAAGACACCAGGCACCCCCUCUCCGCACCCUUGCCCUUCCCCCAGCCCUCCUGCAGCAUCGAAGACUUAG